rfam:Ictidomys tridecemlineatus contig029041, whole genome shotgun sequence.
AGGGGUGUAGCUCAGUAUUAGAGCACUUACUUGCCUAGUAAUAUAAGGAGUCCUGAGUUCAAUUCUCAGUACUGCCC